rnacentral:rRNA from 1 species
GAUGAACGCUGGCGGCGUGCCUAAUACAUGCAAGUCGAGCGAACAGACGAGGAGCUUGCUCCUCUGACGUUAGCGGCGGACGGGUGAGUAACACGUGGAUAACCUACCUAUAAGACUGGGAUAACUUCGGGAAACCGGAGCUAAUACCGGAUAAUAUAUUGAACCGCAUGGUUCAAUAGUGAAAGACGGUUUUGCUGUCACUUAUAGAUGGAUCCGCGCCGCAUUAGCUAGUUGGUAAGGUAACGGCUUACCAGGGCAACGAUGCGUAGCCGACCUGAGAGGGUGAUCGGCCACACUGGAACUGAGACACGGUCCAGACUCCUACGGGAGGCGGCAGUAGGGAAUCUUCCGCAAUGGGCGAAAGCUUGACGGAGCAACGCCGCGUGAGUGAUGAAGGUCUUCGGAUCGUAAAACUCUGUUAUUAGGGAAGAACAAAUGUGUAAGUAACUAUGCACGUCUUGACGGUACCUAAUCAGAAAGCCACGGCUAACUACGUG